rnacentral:tRNA from 1 species
CCUUAGCUCAGUUGGUAGAGCAACUGACUUUUAAUCAGUAGGUCGAAGGUUCGAAUCCUUCAGG